GAUGAACGCUGGCGGCGUGCCUAAUACAUGCAAGUCGAGCGAACAGACGAGGAGCUUGCUCCUCUGACGUUAGCGGCGGACGGGUGAGUAACACGUGGAUAACCUACCUAUAAGACUGGGAUAACUUCGGGAAACCGGAGCUAAUACCGGAUAAUAUAUUGAACCGCAUGGUUCAAUAGUGAAAGACGGUUUUGCUGUCACUUAUAGAUGGAUCCGCGCCGCAUUAGCUAGUUGGUAAGGUAACGGCUUACCAAGGCGACGAUGCGUAGCCGACCUGAGAGGGUGAUAGGCCACACUGGAACUGAGACACGGUCCAGACUCCUACGGGAGGCAGCAGUAGGGAAUCUUCCGCAAUGGGCGAAAACCUGACGGAGCAACGCCGCGUGAGUGAUGAAGGUCUUCGGAUCGUAAAACUCUGUUAUUAGGGAAGAACAAAUGUGUAAGUAACUAUGCACGUCUUGACGGUACCUAAUCAGAAAGCCACGGCUAACUACGUG
rnacentral:rRNA from 1 species